AGAGAGAGACAUGCGCGCAUAUCAAUAAGCGGAGGAAAAGAAACUAACAAGGAUUCCCUUAGUAACGGCGAGUGAAGCGGGAAGAGCUCAAAUUUGAAAUCUUCAAGGUUCUACCUUGACGAAUUGUAGUUUAUAGAAGUGUUUUCUGUUAGUAGAGUGGCAAAAGUUCUUUGGAAUAGGACAUCAUAGAGGGUGAGAAUCCCGUAUUUGGUCAUUCCUCCUAGCGUUGUGAUACACUUUCAACGAGUCGGAUUGUUUGGGAAUGCAGUCCCAAAUGGGUGGUAAAUUUCAUCUAAAGCUAAAUAUUGGCGAGAGACCGAUAGCGAACAAGUACCGUGAGGGAAAGAUGAAAAGAACUUUGAAAAGAGAGUUAAACAGUACGUGAAAUUGUCAAAAGGGAAGCGUUUGACACCAGUGUUGUUUUUCCGAAAAUCAAUUACGAAUGUUUUGUUUUUGAGGAGUUAUGACUUCAUCGGCUUGCUCCUUUCUUUACGAAACUUUCUUAAUGCACUUUUCGGUUAACAAGUCAACAUCAAUUUCUUUUGUUGUAAAAGGGUAUGAGGAAGGUGGCUUUCUUUUCGGAGAAAGUGUUUAUAGCCUUGUACCUCUGCAAUCGGAGAGAUUGAGGUCUGCAGCGUAGAUCCUUCGGGGUUAGAUACAUUUGUGCUAAGUUAUAGCUUUUCAUAGACAACUUGUUGACUAUGUUUAGUCUUGUAGCUUACUCGCUUAUGCUAUUUUACCUACGCUUAGGAUGUUGAUAGUCACAGCGUGUAC
rnacentral:rRNA from 1 species